GAUGAACGCUGGCGGCGUGCCUAAUACAUGCAAGUCGAGCGAACGGACGAGGCUCUUGCUUCGCUGAUGUUAGCGGCGGACGGGUGAGUAACACGUGGAUAACCUACCUAUAAGACUGGGAUAACUUCGGGAAACCUGAUACAAUACCGGACAAUAUUUUGAACCGCAUGGUUCAACAGUGAAAGACGGUCUUGCUGUCACUUAUAGAUGGAUCCGCGCUGCAUUAGCUAGUUGGUAAGGUAACGGCUUACCAAGGCAACGAUGCAUAGCCGACCUGAGAGGAUGAUCAGCCACACUGGAACUGAGACACGGUCCAGACUCCUACGGGAGGCAGCAGUAGGGAAUCUUCCGCAAUGGGCGAAAGCCUGACGGAGCAACGCCGCGUGAGUGAUGAAGGUCUUCGGAUCGUAAAACUCUGUUAUUAGGGAAGAACAUAUGUGUAAGUAACUGUGCACAUCUUGACGGUACCAAAUCAGAAAGCCACGGCUAACUACGUG
rnacentral:rRNA from 1 species